GGAUAUGAGGGUGAUCUGGCUGUGGCAUUUGUCACCCCAUUAAUCACCAAAGUUGAUUGGCUGAUCUGGCUGGCUAGGUGGGUGUCCCCUUCCUCCCUCACCGUUCCAUGUGCAUCCCUCCCAAAGCUGUGCACUCUGUCAAAGAGGACUGCCUUCCCCGAAAGGACCAGUCUUCGGUCAAGGGUUAUACCAGUAGCUGCGCUCCCCUGCUAUAACCUCCAACCAAGCUCUCAAGGUCCACUCUAGGAGGACGUAGGGUAGUCAAGCUUCCAGACUCCAGACACAUCCACAUGAGGCGCUGCAUGUGGCAGUCUGCCUUUCUUU
ensembl:misc_RNA Gm23037 predicted gene, 23037